rnacentral:rRNA from 1 species
AACGAACGCUAGCGGCGUGCUUAACACAUGCAAGUCGUACGAGAAAUCCCGGGCAACUGGGAGAGUAAAGUGGCGCACGGGUGAGUAACGCGUGGGUAAUCUACCUUGGAGUUCGGAAUAACACCUCGAAAGGGGUGCUAAUACCGGAUAUCGUCCUAAGGGUUUCGGCCCCGAGGAUGAAAGAUGGCUGAGGCUUGCAAGCUAUUGCUCCAAGAUGAGCCCGCGUACCAUUAGCUUGUUGGUGGGGUAAUGGCCCACCAAGGCUAUGAUGGUUAGCUGGUCUGAGAGGAUGGCCAGCCACACUGGAACUGAGAUACGGUCCAGACUCCUACGGGAGGCUG